CGACUAUGAUGAACAAACCAUUCAUUCAGUUCUGCUACUGAACACUGUGAUGAUACCCAUUUACCAAAAACCUUGUCUGAUAU
rnacentral:snoRNA from 1 species